rnacentral:rRNA from 1 species
UCAAAGAUAUGCCUAGGUGGGAUUAGACUAGUUAGUGAGGUAAUGGCUCACCAAGGCGACGAUCCCUAGCUGGUCUGAGAGGAUGAUCAGCCACACUGGAACUGAGACACGGUCCAGACUCCUACGGGAGGCAGCAGUGGGGAAUAUUGCACAAUGGGCGAAAGCCUGAUGCAGCCAUGCCGCGUGUAUGAAGAAGGCCUUCGGGUUGUAAAGUACUUUCAGUUGUGAGGAAGGGUGUGUAGUUAAUAGCUGCACAUCUUGACGUUAGCAACAGAAGAAGCACCGGCUAACUCCGUGCCAGCAGCCGCGGUAAUACGGAGGGUGCGAGCGUUAAUCGGAAUUACUGGGCGUAAAGCGCAUGCAGGUGGUUCAUUAAGUCAGAUGUGAAAGCCCGGGGCUCAACCUCGGAACUGCAUUUGAAACUGGUGAACUAGAGUGCUGUAGAGGGGGGUAGAAUUUCAGGUGUAGCGGUGAAAUGCGUUUAUAUCUGAAGGAAUACCAGUGGCGAAGGCGGCCCCCUGGACAGACACUGACACUCAGA